rnacentral:lncRNA from 1 species
GCAUAGUUCCAAACUACUCUCCAAAAUGGUUGGAUUCGUUCACAACUCCACCAACAAUGAAUCAAUGUCCCAGUUUUCCCACAUCCCCUCAACAAUCAUCAUUAUUUUUCCUGUCAUUUUAGCCAAUCUGACAGGUGUGUGUAGGUAUCUUAGAGUUGUCUUAAUUUGCAUUUCUCUGAUUAAUAAUGACUUGGAGCAUCUUUUCAUAUGACUAGAAAUAGUUUCAAUUUCUUCAUCUGAGAAUUGUCUGUUCAUAUCCUUUGACCAUUUUCAAUUGGAGAAUGGCUUGAUUUUUUAUAAAUUAGAGUUAAUUCUCUAUAUAUUUUGGAAAUGAGGCCUUUAUCAGAACCUUUGACUGUAAAAAUAUUUUCCCAGUUUAUUGCUUCCCUUUUAAUCUUGUCUGCAUUAGAUUUGUUUGUACAAAAACUUUUCAGUUUGGUAUAAUCAAAAUUUUCUAUUUUGUGGUCAGUAAUGAUCUCUAGUUCUGCUUUGGUCAUAAAGACCUUCCCCUUCCACAGGUCUGAGAUGUAAACUAUCCUAUGUUCCUCUAAUUUAUUAAUGAUUUCAUUCUUUAUGCCUAGGUCAUGAACCCAUUUUGACCUUAUCUUGGUGUAGCGCUUAAGUAUGGAUCAAUGCCUAGUUUCUCCAUAUUAGUUUCCAAUUUUCCCAGCAAUUUUUAUCAAACAGUAAGUUCUUAUCCCAAAAGCUGGGAUCUUUGGGUUUGUCAAAGACUAGGUUGCUAUAUUUGUUGACUGUUUUAUCCUUUGAACCUACUCUAUUCCACUGAUCAACUAAUCUAUUCCUUAGCCAAUACCAAAUAGUUUUGGUAACUGCUGCUCUAUAAUAUAAUUUUAGAUCUGGUACAGCUAAGCCACCAUCAUUUGAUUUUUUUUUCAUUAAUUCCUUGAAAUUCUUGACCUUUUGUUUUUCCAUAUGAACUUUGUUGUUAUUUUUUCUAGGUCAUUAAAAUAGUUUUUUGGGAGUCUGAUUGGUAUAGCGCUAAAUAAAUAGAUUAGUUUAGGUAAAAUUGUCAUCUUUAUUAUAUUUGCUCGCCCUAUCCAAGAGCAUUUAAUAUUUUUCCAAUUGGUUAGAUCAGACUUAAUUUGUGUGAAAAGUGGUCUGUAAUUUUGCUCAUAAAGUUUCUGAUUUUCCUUGGCAGAUAGAUUCCUAAAUAUUUUAUAUUAUCAGUAGUUACUUUAAAUGGAAUUUCUCUUUGUAACUCUGACUGUUGGAUUUUGUUAGUGAUAUAUAAGAAUGCUGAUGACUUAUGUGGGUUUAUUUUAUAACCAGCAACUUUGCUAAAGUUGUGGAUUAUUUCUAAUAACUUUUAGCAGAAUCUCUGGGGUUCUCUAAGUAUACCAUCAUGUCAUCGGCAAAGAGUGAUAAUUUGGCUUCCUCAUUGCCUAUUCUUAUUCCUUUAAUCUCUUUCUCAGCUCUUAUUGCUAUAGCUAGCGUUUCUAAUACAAUAUUAAAUAGUAAC